CGUAUAGCCCUGAAGAUUCAAGUCCUGUUUAUCCACAGAGGCAGGUGCAGCAUGGGCAGCUGCAGUGAAACUGUCUCCCCGCUGCACUGCCUUACUCCUCGUCUGGAGAGGGCACCUCCAGGAAUGAGAGGGAAGAUCAGUCUCCAUGCCCAUUCAUUCUUUGGCCUCU
rnacentral:sRNA from 1 species